rnacentral:tRNA from 1 species
GGUCCCGUAGCUUAACUGAAUAGAGCAUCUGACUACGGAUCAGAAGGUUGGGGGUUUGAAUCCCUUCGGGAUCACAA